AGGAGGGAAAAGAGAAAGUGAAGCUCAUGGGAGUGCAAUAAAAAGAAAACACGGAGCGUUUCCCUGCAGCAGCUUUCUAAUUUUCCAGGGAAAGCUGAGCUCCACCCUGCUUCAUGUUCUCCCUCUGAUCUGAUCUGAGGACAGUCUGUCUGAUUCUCGUGGGAUUCAAACAGGCUGUAUCUGCAGUGUCUGUGCACAUGCUGUUCACAGCAUUUAGUUUCCAAAGUGGGAGACACCAUCUCAAACAUCUGUGAGCCAAAAUAAAAAAAAAAGUGAGCAUCAGUUUGUGACUGCAGGAGACCCUGAACAACAUCCGACUCUGGACUCAACAUCUCAGGCGUCUCCGAUAAUCACAGAUCACUCUGGGAACAGUUCCCACAGUGACAGCAGUGAGAGAGAGGACGGAGGAGGGCGGAGAGCUUCUGUGACGUUUCAGUCUCAGAGCUGUGGUUAAAACCAGAAACCCUCAGCGGCAGCACAAGAAGAGAAACUUCAGAGGGGAAACCCCGCCCGUCCGGUGUCUCUCUGUGGGAAAAUGACGCCAGCGGAGAAACACUCAGCUCUGUGACGUCCUGAUGUUCGACAUGUUGCAGCGUCUUAACGGUUAAACCAAAAUGAGGUUUUAAAGUCUGUAAUUAGUAGUUUGAACACGUUUUUUAGGAGGGUAGCCUAGCGUAGCACAAAGAGUCCGAUCUUCUUAUCUAAAUUAUAGGACAUUGGAGGCCUGAAAUUUAAACAUUCAAGGGACCUCAAGUCAAAGGUUCUGUGUGAGUGAAGCAUUGUUGUUUCCUGUUAACAGGAAGUUAGGGUCACAGAUAUUGAUUGGCCUUUACAGCAGCCAAUAGCAGCUAGCGCUAUGAGCUAGCGUCAGCAUCGACCUCCCAUUGAACACAGCCGGACCCGGGACCGAACACAGUCUCAGACACCGACAGUGAAUCCAGUACCGAGGUGGUUUUUGUGCCUCCUGGCAUCCCGGAGUCAGUUAGCUUAGCUGCACAGCUGACCGAGCUAACAGCAGUUAGCGGUUAGCUACUGAUCAAUCUGUCCAUCAGGAACUCUGUGAAUGACCUCGGUGCUGUAACGUUAUUCCCUGUCGGUCUCGGGGGCCGUGUUCGAUCCCGGUUCUGACGCCCGCUAACGACAUGUACAGUUAGCAGCAGCUAAUUAGUGGUUAGCUACUUUAGCUAAAGCUAUCGGCCCAUCAGGAAACUCUGUGAAUCUCAUUGAUUGGACGCAGCAUCAGUAAACGCCCCCGAGUGCAGGAUGAGUCAUCAGAUACUUUUAUUGAUUAUCAGGAAACUCUCAAACACCUUUAAGAACACCUGAAGACACCUGAACCAGGACUUCCUGUCCCUGUUGGACAGAGACGAGAUAAACACUCUGAUUUUAACUUCAUGGCGUCUGUUUGGGUUUCGUCUGUGAUAUUUCGGAUCAGGUCGCCGACGUCCAAACAAUAAUCAAUAAAUACACCAAUCUCUUCAAAUAUGAAAGAGACAGACAGACAGACAGACAGACAGGUUGGACGUUCAGUAAAUAUUCAGCAGUGAGCAUCACAACAGGUUGGACAGCAGAUCUUCCUCCUCCUCCUCCUCCUCCUCCCUUUCUGUGUGUUAGUCACUGUAACAGCAUACAGUAUGAAACCUACACCACACACACACACACACACACACACACACACACCUGUGACCUUUACAGCACUGACUCAUCAAUUAGAUAACAUCAGCCGAGGGGGGGGGGUUGUUUACAUCUGUGCUGUUUGUUGUUCUGACAGCUUCAAUAAGAAACUUACAAACAGACAGUGAGAGGAGGAGAGGAGAGAGGAGGAGAGGAGAGAGGAGAGGAGGAUAGAGGAGGAGGUGAGAGGAGGAGGAGGAGAGAGGG